AUUGAACGCUGGCGGAAUGCUUUACACAUGCAAGUCGAGCGGCAGCGCGGGGGCAACCCUGGCGGCGAGCGGCGAACGGGUGAGUAACAUAUCGGAACGUACCCAGUCGUGGGGGAUAACUAUCCGAAAGGAUAGCUAAUACCGCAUACGUCCUGAGGGAGAAAGCGGGGGAUCGCAAGACCUCGCGCGAUUGGAGCGGCCGAUAUCGGAUUAGCUAGUUGGUGGGGUAAAGGCUCACCAAGGCGACGAUCCGUAGCGGGUCUGAGAGGACGACCCGCCACACUGGAACUGAGACACGGUCCAGACUCCUACGGGAGGCAGCGGUGGGGAAUUUUGGACAAUGGGGGCAACCCUGAUCCAGCCAUUCCGCGUGAGUGAAGAAGGCCUUCGGGUUGUAAAGCUCUUUCAGCAGGAACGAAACGGUGGUCCCUAAUACGGACUACUAAUGACGGUACCUGAAGAAGAAGCACCGGCUAACUACGUG
rnacentral:rRNA from 1 species